rnacentral:rRNA from 1 species
AUGCAGCAGGAUCAGCGCAAGAAGAGUUCCGCAGAGGCCGAGUUUUUUACGGAGUACGGCGACGCAAGUCGAUACAAGAUUCAGGAAAUCGUUGGAAAGGGCAGCUAUGGUGUCGUGUGCUCCGCAAUAGACGUCCACACCGGAGAGAAAGUGGCGAUAAAAAAGAUACAUGAUAUCUUUGAGCACAUAUCUGAUGCUGCACGGAUUCUCCGUGAGAUCAAGCUUCUGAGGCUCUUAAGACAUCCUGACAUUGUUGAGAUCAAGCAUAUUAUGUUGCCUCCAUCGAGAAGAGACUUCAAAGAUAUUUAUGUCGUUUUUGAGCUCAUGGAGUCUGAUCUCCACCAGGUUAUAAAGGCUAAUGAUGACUUGACAAAGGAGCAUUACCAGUUCUUUCUUUACCAAUUACUCCGGGCUCUGAAAUACAUUCACACUGCUAAUGUUUAUCACCGGGACCUAAAGCCAAAGAAUAUAUUGGCAAAUUCCAACUGCAAACUGAAGAUUUGUGAUUUUGGAUUGGCACGAGUUGCAUUCAACGAUACCCCCACAACAAUCUUUUGGACGGAUUAUGUUGCGACAAGAUGGUAUAGAGCUCCAGAGCUCUGUGGUUCCUUCUUUUCAAAGUAUACACCCGCCAUUGAUGUCUGGAGCAUCGGAUGCAUCUUUGCUGAGGUCUUGACAGGAAAACCUUUGUUUCCUGGUAAAAAUGUUGUACAUCAGUUAGAUCUGAUGACUGAUCUUCUGGGCACACCAUCUAUGGAUACAAUCUCUCGGGUCCGGAAUGAGAAAGCAAGGAGGUAUCUGAGCAGCAUGAGAAAGAAAGAGCUGAUUUCAUUUUCGCAUAAAUUUCCCAAUGCAGAUCCUUUGGCCUUAGACCUGUUGCAAAGGCUUUUAGCGUUUGAUCCAAAGGACCGCCCAACUGCUGAAGAGGCAUUGUCUCAUCCGUACUUUAAAGGGCUUGCCAAGGUUGAGAGAGAACCAUCCUGCCAACCAAUCACAAAAAUGGAGUUUGAGUUUGAGCGUAGAAGAGUGACAAAAGAAGACAUAAGGGAGCUUAUAUUUCGUGAGAUAUUGGAAUACCAUCCACAAUUGCUCAAAGACUACACCAAUGGAACUGAAAGGACAACCUUUCUAUACCCAAGUGCUGUUGAUCAAUUUAGGAAGCAGUUUGCUCAUCUUGAAGAAAAUAGUGAGAACGGCCCUGUAGUUCCAAUGGAUAGAAAGCACACCUCUCUUCCUAGGUCUACUAUUGUUCACUCAGCUCCAAUUCAUGGCAAGGAACAACCCCGUAUUGGCCCAUCAAGGGAUAAGCCUUCGCCUGACGAGUCUUAUAAAAAUCAUCGAGAUUCAGAAAAAUAUUCUGGCAAUGUCCAGAGAACCUCACAGGCUCCACAAAGAGUGCCAACAGCAAGACCAGGAAGGGUUGUUGGUCCAGUUCUGCCUUACGAAAAUGUGGCAGCAAUGAACUCCGGUUAUCCUCCCCAACAACAAAUCCCGCAAAUAUACGGUUAUUAUCAGACACCGGCAAAGUCAGCUUGCUCCGAGCCAUCGCAGGCCGAAAUGUAUACGCUGCACCAGCAGGCCUAUGCUUGCGCAAACAGUUCAACUGUGCCUGAUGUUGCUCUGGACAUGAGAGCACCUCCCUUCCAUCAGUCAGCAGGGCCGAAAAGGGGUUCUUCUGAUAGGCUAUCAGCGGAAUCAAACCUAUACUCGAGAUCCCUUAAUGGCAUAGCUCCAACUACAACAGGAGUGGCGGCAAGUGCUCACAGGAAGGUCGGCGUUGUUCCCUACGGUAUGUCGCAGAUGUAUUAG